UGGGCAACCUGGCCCUCUCUCAGGGAUAACCCCGGGAAACCGGAGCUAAUACCGGAUACUCCGGCUGGAUCGCAUGGUCCGGCCGGGAAAGGUCCGCCGGAGAGGGAUGGGCCCGCGGCCUAUCAGCUUGUUGGUGGGGUCAUGGCUCACCAAGGCGACGACGGGUAGCUGGUCUGAGAGGAUGGCCAGCCACAUUGGGACUGAGACACGGCCCAGACUCCUACGGGAGGCA
rnacentral:rRNA from 1 species